CAGAGAACCCGUCAUUUCCCAGAUUCCUCAGCUUUAAUGCUACUGCUGAUCUCUCUUCAUACCUGCUAGACCUUUUUGUUUGUUUUUGUUUUAAAGGAGGUGGGCAGGUUUGAAAUGACCUCCAGUAGGUGAGCCAAACAACCCUGAAUAAUUGUUUUUCCUCACUGAUUAUUUACAAACUCUGGCUGACCAUCAAACCAUUUUCCCUCCCACAACUGGUCUAUUUUUGCAGUCCCUUCCACAUUAUCCAAAUCGAAGAAAUGAAGUGAAUCAGCUACAUGCCAUAAAGAACACCGAUUAAAUUUCAGAACUACUCCAAGGUAAAUUUUGCACUUUAAGGCUAUGCUUUGGAGACCAUAAUAACAUAAACAGCAUUAAAGAACUGGAACUAAUUGAUGUCAAGACCAAAACUGAUGCCAGAGGACUGAUGGAGAAAUCACCUUCUCUCUUUUGGGGAGAAACAUGCUGAACUAUGGGGAUGGAAUGGACCAUCCAUCAUCAGACAUCAUCACUGGGCUCAUUUGUUUGGUUUAAUUUCAUUGUUAUGAGGGAAGAAUCUAUGGUGACUGUGCCAUUUGGAAGAAACAGAGCUAUAAAAGAGCAUCAGUCAUUGUUCUUAAAGAUUCUGUACAUUGAUCUAGGUACUAGCACAAAAGGAUCCCUCCAAGGCCAGUCCAGAAGGCAACUUCCUAAGCACCUCCAUGGGCACAAAUGGGCCUUUGCUGGCCAAUGGAUUGACUUUGGAGUCAGGGACACCUGGGUUCAGGUUCUGUCUUGGUCAGGCUUGGAGACUUUGGCCCAAACAAGUAACCCCUCAAUGCACCAUUCCAGAAGAGUCUCCAGAUGUCACAUUCCUCAUCUGUAUAUUAAAGAGAAUGG
rnacentral:lncRNA from 1 species